AUACGGAGGAUCCGAGCGUUAUCCGGAUUUAUUGGGUUUAAAGGGAGCGUAGGCGGAUUAUUAAGUCAGUUGUGAAAGUUUGCGGCUCAACCGUAAAAUUGCAGUUGAUACUGGUAGUCUUGAGUGCAGCAGAGGUAGGCGGAAUUCGUGGUGUAGCGGUGAAAUGCUUAGAUAUCACGAAGGACUCCGAUUGCGAAGGCAGCCUGCUGGACUGUAACUGACGCUGAUGCUCGAAAGUGUGGGUAUCAAACAGGAUUAGAUACCCUGGUAGUCCACACAGUAAACGAUGAAUACUCGCUGUUUGCGAUAUACAGUAAGCGGCCAAGCGAAAGCGUUAAGUAUUCCACCUGGGGAGUACGCCGGCAACGGUGAAACUCAAAUGAAUUGACGGGG
rnacentral:rRNA from 1 species